UACGUAGGGGGCAAGCGUUGUCCGGAAUCAUUGGGCGUAAAGCGCGCGUAGGCGGCCCUGUAAGUCCGCUGUAAAAGUCAAAGGCUCAACCUUUGAAAGCCGGUGGAUACUGCAGGGCUAGAGUCCGGAAGAGGCGAGUGGAAUUCCUGGUGUAGCGGUGGAAUGCGCAGAUAUCAGGAGGAACACCGAUGGCGAAGGCAGGUCUCUGGGCAGUAACUGACACUGAGGAGCGAAAGCGUGGGGAGCGAACAGG
rnacentral:rRNA from 1 species